GCCCCGAUAGCUCAGUUGGAUAGAGCAUGGGAUUUCUAAUCCCAGGGUCGCAGGUUCGAGUCCUGCUCGGGGUG
rnacentral:tRNA from 1 species